GGAGUGAAAAGAGCAGUGAACUCUUUUUCAGCUGAAAAUGUGGAUGUAGCUUCAUCUGUUGGAGUGAAAAGAGGAGUGAACUCUUUUUCUGAUGAAAAUGUGGAUGUAGCUUCAUCUGUUGGAAUGAAAGAGGAUUAAACUCUUUUUCAGAUGAAAAUGUAAAUAUUGCUUCAAACAUUAAAAUCUGGUCACCAUUCCUGUAAUAAUAGAAACUGUGUCUGAUACAUGGAUAAAGUAUUUUUGCCAUGAGCUGAACAACAAUAAAACAAUAUUUGUAUGUUUGAAAUAUA